GCGUCUGGCAACUAACGAAGGCAAAGUUAUCAAUCAGCCUACUACUAGUAACCACCAGCAGGGAGCAACAACAUCAGGGAGCAACAACAAAUAUAAAGAACAGAAACCAACUUUGGACAAGGGCAAGGGCGUAGCAAAUGACGGAAAAUGAUAAUGAUUUAUUUUAUUUUGAAAGAACUUGUGACUUAUAUUUUGGGUGCAUGGACAACUAUUAUGUUGAGAAAAUGUUUUUAUGUAGUUACAGACAUUAACAAUGCUAUGUGUGUAAUAUUUUAGGUUUAGGAUUUA